rnacentral:lncRNA from 1 species
GGACCAUAUGUCAUACAAGAAGUGGAUUCAAAUGGUUUUUAUAAACUUGUCAACACAGAUGUCGUGAAAAUUGGCCCUAUCAAUACCAAGUUCUUUAAUAAGUACUAUACUUGAAGAAAGAUGACACUCAUUAAAGCACGAGUACAAACUGCAUGUCCACUCCUGGCCCGCAAGAGUAUAAACUAUGUACUUCUCAAAAAAAUAUUCUCUAAGUUGAAAACCUUAAAAGGAUCAGCUGAGGCAAAAGUUAGGACGCGAAAAAAACACUCACCCAGAA